GAUGAACGCUGGCGGCGUGCCUAAUACAUGCAAGUCGAGCGAACAGAUAAGGAGCUUGCUCCUUUGACGUUAGCGGCGGACGGGUGAGUAACACGUGGAUAACCUACCUAUAAGACUGGGAUAACUUCGGGAAACCGGAGCUAAUACCGGAUAACAUAUUGAACCGCAUGGUUCAAUAGUGAAAGGCGGCUUUGCUGUCACUUAUAGAUGGAUCCGCGCCGUAUUAGCUAGUUGGUAAGGUAACGGCUUACCAAGGCAACGAUACGUAGCCGACCUGAGAGGGUGAUCGGCCACACUGGAACUGAGACACGGUCCAGACUCCUACGGGAGGCAGCAGUAGGGAAUCUUCCGCAAUGGGCGAAAGCCUGACGGAGCAACGCCGCGUGAGUGAUGAAGGUCUUCGGAACGUAAAACUCUGUUAUCAGGGAAGAACAAAUGUGUAAGUAACUGUGCACAUCUUGACGGUACCUGAUCAGAAAGCCACGGCUAACUACGUG
rnacentral:rRNA from 1 species